AACUUGACCCUUAGCCCAAGUGUUAUAUUUGGUUAUUUACUAAAAUCGCCAGACAGUUUCUAUGGGGCGUAGGCCUCCCAAAGGGUAACGGAGGCGUGCAAAGGUUUCCUCGGGCCGGACGGAGAUUGGCCCUCGAGUGCAAAGGCAGAAGGGAGCUUGACUGUAAGACCCACCCGUCGAGCAGGGACAAAAGUCGGCCUUAGUGAUCCGACGGUGCCGAGUGGAAGGGCCGUCGCUCAACGGAUAAAAGUUAC
rnacentral:ncRNA from 1 species